rnacentral:rRNA from 1 species
UACGAAGGGGGGCUAGCGUUGCUCGGAAUCACUGGGCGUAAAGCGCACGUAGGCGGCUUUCUAAGUCAGGGGUGAAAUCCUGGAGCUCAACUCCAGAACUGCCUUUGAUACUGGAGAGCUUGAGUCCGGGAGAGGUGAGUGGAACUCCGAGUGUAGAGGUGAAAUUCGUAGAUAUUCGGAAGAACACCAGUGGCGAAGGCGGCUCACUGGCCCGGUACUGACGCUGAUGUGCGAAAGCGUGGGGGAGCAAACAGG